GCAUCCAUUAUUGCAGUUACCUUCAUUGUUCCGGCGGCUGUGGGGAUAGCUGGAGCUGAGUGAAGGACAAACCCGAAGUGCCCCUGGCCCUCUGUGUGUUUGGGUUGGAGGCUGCCGGAAUGUCUGGGGAAGUGGCUGGGGUGGUGGCUGCUACACGUGGCGGCAGGAACGCAGACUGGCCCUCUCGCAGGGAGAUGCUGGCUCUCCGGCCGAUUGCAUCAGCAGGAAGAGCUGUAAGAGUGUAUUUCCCCCAAACCGCCCCCUGAG